rnacentral:rRNA from 1 species
ACUUGCGGGGGGCACUUCGCUGGGCACGCGCCCCAGGCGCACCCAGAAACCCUUUGUGAACUUAUACCUUACUGUUGCCUCGGCGUGCGCUGGCCCCUAGGGGUCCCUCUUGUCUCAAGAGGAGCAGGCGCGCCGGCGGCCAAGUUAACUCUUGUUUUUACACUGAAACUCUGAGAAAAAAACAAAAAUGAAUCAAAACUUUCAACAACGGAUCUCUUGGUUCUGGCAUCGAUGAAGAACGCAGCGAAAUGCGAUAAGUAAUGUGAAUUGCAGAAUUCAGUGAAUCAUCGAAUCUUUGAACGCACAUUGCGCCCUCCGGUAUUCCGGAGGGCAUGCCUGUUCGAGCGUCAUUUCAACCCUCAAGCCUGGUUUGGUGUUGGGGCACUGCCUGUAAAGGGGCAGGCCCUCAAAUCUAGUGGCGAGCUCGCCAGGACCCCGAGCGUAGGAUUUAAACCCUCGCUUUGGAAGGCCGUGGGGGCGCCCUGCCGUUAAACCCACAACUCUUUAAAAGUUUGACCUCGGAACAUGUGAGGCGAAUACCCGCUGAACAAGCAUAUCAAUA